GAUGAACGCUGGCGGCGUGCCUAACACAUGCAAGUCGAGCGGCAGCGCGGGGUGCUUGCACCCUGUCGGCGAGCGGCGGACGGCUGAGUAACGCGUGGGAACGUGCCCCAAAGUGAGGAAUAACUGCCCGAAAGGGUGGCUAAUACCGCAUAUUAUCUUCGGAUCAAAGGAUUUAUCCGCUUUGGGAGCGGCUCGCGUCGGAUUAGGUAGUUGGUGAGGUAAUGGCUCACCAAGCCGACGAUCCGUAGCUGGUCUGAGAGGAUGACCAGCCAGACUGGAACUGAGACACGGUCCAGACUCCUACGGGAGGCAGCAGUGAGGAAUCUUGCACAAUGGGCGAAAGCCUGAUGGAGCAACGCCGCGUGAAGGACGAAGGCCUUCGGGUUGUAAACUGCUUUUAUAAGUGAGGAAUAUGACGGUAACUUAUGAAUAAGGAUCGGCUAACUACGUG
rnacentral:rRNA from 1 species